rnacentral:rRNA from 1 species
GAAACCCGGUGAUCUAGCCAUGGGCAGGUUGAAGGUUGGGUAACACUAACUGGAGGACCGAACCGACUAAUGUUGAAAAAUUAGCGGAUGACUUGUGGCUGGGGGUGAAAGGCCAAUCAAACCGGGAGAUAGCUGGUUCUCCCCGAAAGCUAUUUAGGUAGCGCCUCGUGAAUUCAUCUCCGGGGGUAGAGCACUGUUUCGGCAAGGGGGUCAUCCCGACUUACCAACCCGAUGCAAACUGCGAAUACCGGAGAAUGUUAUCACGGGAGACACACGGCGGGUGCUAACGUCCGUCGUGAAGAGGGAAACAACCCAGACCGCCAGCUAAGGUCCCAAAGUCAUGGUUAAGUGGGAAACGAUGUGGGAAGGCCCAGACAGCCAGGAUGUUGGCUUAGAAGCAGCCAUCAUUUAAAGAAAGCGUAAUAGCUCACUGGUCGAGUCGGCCUGCGCGGAAGAUGUAACGGGGCUAAACCAUGCACCGAAGCUGCGGCAGCGACACUAUGUGUUGUUGGGUAGGGGAGCGUUCUGUAAGCCUGUGAAGGUGGCCUGUGAGGGUUGCUGGAGGUAUCAGAAGUGCGAAUGCUGACAUAAGUAACGAUAAAGCGGGUGAAAAGCCCGCUCGCCGGAAGACCAAGGGUUCCUGUCCAACGUUAAUCGGGGCAGGGUGAGUCGACCCCUAAGGCGAGGCCGAAAGGCGUAGUCGAUGGGAAACAGGUUAAUAUUCCUGUACUUGGUGUUACUGCGAAGGGGGGACGGAGAAGGCUAUGUUGGCCGGGCGACGGUUGUCCCGGUUUAAGCGUGUAGGCUGGUUUUCCAGGCAAAUCCGGAAAACCAAGGCUGAGGCGUGAUGACGAGGCACUACGGUGCUGAAGUGACAAAUGCCCUGCUUCCAGGAAAAGCCUCUAAGCAUCAGGUAACAUCAAAUCGUACCCCAAACCGACACAGGUGGUCAGGUAGAGAAUACCAAGGCGCUUGAGAGAACUCGGGUGAAGGAACUAGGCAAAAUGGUGCCGUAACUUCGGGAGAAGGCACGCUGAUAUGUAGGUGAAGCGACUUGCUCGUGGAGCUGAAAUCAGUCGAAGAUACCAGCUGGCUGCAACUGUUUAUUAAAAACACAGCACUGUGCAAACACGAAAGUGGACGUAUACGGUGUGACGCCUGCCCGGUGCCGGAAGGUUAAUUGAUGGGGUUAGCGGCAACGCGAAGCUCUUGAUCGAAGCCCCGGUAAACGGCGGCCGUAACUAUAACGGUCCUAAGGUAGCGAAAUUCCUUGUCGGGUAAGUUCCGACCUGCACGAAUGGCGUAAUGAUGGCCAGGCUGUCUCCACCCGAGACUCAGUGAAAUUGAACUCGCUGUGAAGAUGCAGUGUACCCGCGGCAAGACGGAAAGACCCCGUGAACCUUUACUAUAGCUUGACACUGAACAUUGAGCCUUGAUGUGUAGGAUAGGUGGGAGGCUUUGAAGUGUGGACGCCAGUCUGCAUGGAGCCGACCUUGAAAUACCACCCUUUAAUGUUUGAUGUUCUAACGUUGGCCCGUAAUCCGGGUUGCGGACAGUGUCUGGUGGGUAGUUUGACUGGGGCGGUCUCCUCCUAAAGAGUAACGGAGGAGCACGAAGGUUGGCUAAUCCUGGUCGGACAUCAGGAGGUUAGUGCAAUGGCAUAAGCCAGCUUGACUGCGAGCGUGACGGCGCGAGCAGGUGCGAAAGCAGGUCAUAGUGAUCCGGUGGUUCUGAAUGGAAGGGCCAUCGCUCAACGGAUAAAAGGUACUCCGGGGAUAACAGGCUGAUACCGCCCAAGAGUUCAUAUCGACGGCGGUGUUUGGCACCUCGAUGUCGGCUCAUCACAUCCUGGGGCUGAAGUAGGUCCCAAGGGUAUGGCUGUUCGCCAUUUAAAGUGGUACGCGAGCUGGGUUUAGAACGUCGUGAGACAGUUCGGUCCCUAUCUGCCGUGGGCGCUGGAGAACUGAGGGGGGCUGCUCCUAGUACGAGAGGACCGGAGUGGACGCAUCACUGGUGUUCGGGUUGUCAUGCCAAUGGCACUGCCCGGUAGCUAAAUGCGGAAGAGAUAAGUGCUGAAAGCAUCUAAGCACGAAACUUGCCCCGAGAUG